rnacentral:lncRNA from 1 species
AGAAAUGAGGCUUUAAAAGUUUUUAGAAGAAAGAAGCGUGUGAGUCAACUAGAAAAGGCAAAGGUAACAAAGAGCGUUUCACUUGCCACGAAUGUGGUAAGCCAGGACACAUGAGAUUUCAGUGUCCUACUUACCUCAAGAAAGUUGAUUCGGAGAAGAGCACUCCUUGAGACUUCAAGUCAAAGAAGGCCUACAUUGUCUGGGACGUACUAGAGGAGGAUACAACAUCAAGCACCUCAGAUGAAGAGGAGACCGCCAAGCUAUGCCUAAUGACCAGAACAAAUG